UAAAAAAAUGGAACCAAGAGCUCGACUUACCUUUAUUUCAAAAAAUUGUUAAUGUGUUUCUAAUUUAUUUAAGUAAAUAAUCAUAUGGAACAUAAUUAGACAUCAUUGAUUCAUCAAAUUAUAAAGGAAUCAAGAACAAAUAAGAGGAAGAUAGAACCAGAAGAAAUCGCAUUCAACAAAUUUUUCCUGCAACACAAGCAAAAAUAAAAUAAAAUAAAAACCAUUGAGAAUUUGUGUAAAUAUUAAAAGGAAAAGAUUUCAUUCAAUUAGGCACCCUUGAUUCCUCAUAAUAUAGAGGAAUCAUUUGUCACUACAAAUGACUAAAAUACCCAUAUUAACAUUAAAUAAUGAAAUAAAAAUAACUAUUAAGUAUUUGCCACCAAAUUUAAAUUGAGACUUGCUACUACAAAGAAUUUAAUUGUUUCAACAGAGUAAACUGCAUAAAAGCCUAAAAAAAUAACGCAAAAUAAUUCAGUGACAAUAUUAGAUUUAUUUUAAACCAAUGAAGCCCAUGAUGAAAAGAGUAUUACAAAACUCAUAUGCCUAGGAACUUCAGGCAAUACAUUACUUGAAACCAUGAGUUAAAAACUGAUUAUCAUGUAUCUAGUUUGGCACAACAUCUCUACAAACACCUUACAAACAUCAGAAGUCCAGCCUACUGCAACAUUUAAACCAUAAACAUAACCAAAUGAAGAAAGUUAUUCAAAUCACUGACGCAAAAACGGAAUUGAAAGAAUAGUGAAUUAAAAUCUAAAUAAUAGCCGCAGAUUGAACCAGCAAGAACCAAAUCAACACCAAAAUCAAGAAACCAAAAUCAACAACAUGAAAAAAAUAAGAAUACAAAACAAGAAGAUCAAACCAACGAAAGAUAGAACUGGAAGGAAUUGAACCUGCAACAAUAAAGAAGAAAAAUAUGCUUCGCCACACUGCAGAAAAACAGGUUCAUAAAUCAAUUUAUAUGUAAACACAAAAUAAAAAUAAUAAACGAAUAACUCAUUGAAAAAAGAGGUUGAUAAUCUUAUCGGCUAAUCUUUCGUAAAGGAACGAGAAGUGUGGAUGCCGCAAUUAACGCCUAGGAAAUAUAUGAACGGUCAUGAUGACAUUAUUGUACAAAGCAGAAAGGAACUCAUCUCCAAUUUCUCUACAUCCGAGGGUGAACUAAAAAGGUGUAGUGUGAUUGAGAAAAAAGGAAAUUGAUACUUCACAUCAAACCUAUGUAACACCAAAAUGUUACAUGUACAGAAGAAAUAUGAUUUGACAAAUAGAUACACAAAAAACCAAGAAAAGAAAAAAGACAGGCUCACCAAGUCGUCACAAUUUUUCGAAAACUGUGUAAACUUUUGCACUGUCAGAAUACAAAUUGAAAACCCAAACGUGGAGCAAACAUUUGUAUGAAAAAAGUAGUAUUAACGGUAAGACAACCUCUAAAGAUCAACUUUUCAAUUAUAACCACUAACUGUUACCACACCAAAAGACUUAUAUUACCUGAAACAGUGAAAAUCAUAAUAGAGUAAAGAAACCAGAAAAUAAUCAAAAUACAAAACAUUAAAGAUCAAACAAGAAGAAGAUAAAAUCAAAAGGAAUUGUGUUUCACAUAUUACCUACCCUGCAACAUCAAAAGAGAAAUAACAAUUACAAAUAAAUGCUCUCAGAAUCAAUAAGGAAAUACUUAAACAAUAAGAUAAUUCUAGAGAUCACUCAAUCAAAACUUAAGGCUCGACACUUCGAAGAAUGUUAUCGUUUUGACAAACCACACUGCAGAAAAAUAAGUUCACAAUUCAUUUGUAUGUUUUGUGAUCAAAGUUCGAAAAUAAUAAUGACUCAAUGAAGAAAUUUGAUUUAUCUAGGGCUUUCCCUUUCUUACCCAUUCAACAAGUCUCAACGUUCUAGAUAUCUAAAUUUCAAUUCGCUGCAAAACAGAUAAAAGCAUGUAUUAAAUUAUCCUUAAAAUAGAUGUACAUGCACUUCAGAACCUCUCUUAAAACUCUCAGUUCGAAACACAGAACUCGGCAUCGCCACAAUACAUUAUCAUAUGACACCCUAUUCAAGAAUUCAAGAAUAAACGCAUUAAAGGAGAAAAUGACCCAUUAAAUCCAAAGCCAUGUCCACAACAUCUUCCACAUCCCAUGGUACAUUCAUAGGCUCUUUCCAUAGCAAAAUCAAGUCCUUGAUAAUUCUGCCAUGCUUUUACUGUCUACAUCCCCCUGUGACACCCACACAUAGCUCUCAAAAAAUCGAGAAAACAAGUCUUCAAAAGACAAAGAAAUAUGAAAAUUACAUAGUCAAAGUAGAGAUCACCAAAUGAAAGAACGACAACUGUGAGGACACAACCAAUUGUAGAUUCCAGAGCUCAUAUGCAUAAUAAGGCUUUACCCCAAUACCAGAAGGAGUUCAUGUACCAAUUGUAGAUUCUAGUGCUCCAAUGCAAAAUUAGACUUUACCCUAUACCAGAAGGAGUUCUGUACAACUAGAGAUAAUACAAUUAUUUUUAACCGUACUCCUACGUAUCACAAUUGACAACAAAGUAGAAAAAAACAAAUAACAAAGGUAGUGGCAAAUCAUCAGAACAAAAAAAAAUACCAAACCAAGUUAUCCUUACUUCCACAUCCUCGAUGAGUGAAAAGGUACACUCAAUAAUCUUGUAUGCUGCAAUACUCUAGAAUCUUGCUGAAACAACAACACAAAAAAACCAAAACCGCAUGGCACUCCAUCAAAGGGCAAAUAUCCGAAAACAAUAAGAUAUUAGAUAUGUAAGUACAAAAUGACCGUUUUUAUCCUAAGGGUAUGUGAAAACUGAACAUAUUCCUGCCACGGGUUCCAUAGCCAACUACACAAUCAUAGGUUAUCUCCCAUUUGAUACUUUUUUUCUCGAAAACUGUGUAAACUUUUGCACUAUCAGAAUACAGAUUGAAAACCCAAACGUGGAGCAAACAUCUGUAUGAAAAAAGUAGUAUUAACGGUAAGACAACCUCUAAAGAUCAACUUUUCAAUUAUAACCACUAUCUGUUACCACACCAAAUGACUUAUCUUACCUGAAUCAGUGAAAAUCAUAAUAGAGUAAAGAAACCAGAAAAUAAUCAAAAUACAAAACAUUAAAGAAUCAAACAAGAAGAAGAUAAAACCAAAAGCAAUUGUGUUUCACAUAUAUGACACAACCUGCAAAAGAUUGUGAAUCAUUGGAACAAAUUCCCAUUGAACUUGCAAGAUCAGUACUCCAUAUGAAAUGAUACAAUUUUGGCUUUUUCCUUCUACAGAUGAUUCCUUGGGCCACUGUAACAAAGAAGAUA
rnacentral:lncRNA from 1 species